rnacentral:rRNA from 1 species
GAUGAACGCUAGCUCCAGGCUUAACACAUGCAAGUCGAGGGACCGGCUCCCGGGUGAGUAACACGUAUCCAACCUGCCCUUUCCUCGUGGAUCGCCUUUCGAAAGAAAGAUUAAUCCCCUAUAUAAAGGAUGGGGAUGCGUUCCAUUAGGUUGUUGGUGAGGUAACGGCUCACCAAGCCUUCGAUGGAUAGGGGUUCUGAGAGGAAGGUCCCCCAUAUUAGAAAUGGGACACGGGCCAAACGCGUACGGGAGGGAGCAGUGAGGAAUAUUGGGAAAUGGGCGCUAGCCUGAACCAGCCAAGUAGAGUGAAGGAUGAAGGGGUAUGGGUAGUAAACUUCUUGUAUAGAAGAAGAGGUAUUAUAUGAAUAAGGAUCGGCUAACUCCGUGCCAGCAGCCGCGGUAAUUC